UGUGUAGGCGGCCUUUUAAGUUUGGUGUGAAAUCUCCCGGCUCAACUGGGAGGGUGCGCCGAAUACUGAAAGGCUAGAGUGCGGGAGAGGAGAGUGGAAUUCCUGGUGUAGCGGUGAAAUGCGUAGAUAUCAGGAGGAACACCGGCGGUGUAGACGGCUCUCUGGACCGUAACUGACGCUGAGACACGAAAGCGUGGGUAGCAAACAGGAUUAGAUACCCUGGUAGUCCACGCCCUAAACGAUGCACAUUUGGUGUGGGUCAUUCAGUUGAUCCGUGCCGGAGCUAACGCGUUAAAUGUGCCGCCUGGGGAGUACAGUCGCAAGGCUGAA
rnacentral:rRNA from 1 species